rnacentral:rRNA from 1 species
UGGGGAAUCUUCCGCAAUGGGCGAAAGCCUGACGGAGCAACGCCGCGUGAAUGAAGAAGGCCUUCGGGUCGUAAAGUUCUGUCAUUAGGGACGAAUAAGCCAUGCGAAUAGUUUGGUGUAUGACGGUACCUAAGGAGGAAGCUCCGGCUAACUACGUGCCAGCAGCCGCGGUAAUACGUAGGGAGCAAGCGUUAUUCGGAAUCACUGGGCGUAAAGAGUACGUAGGCGGCAAGGUAAGUCUGAUGUGAAAUGCGGGAGCUUAACUUCCGAACGGCAUUGGAUACUGCUUUGCUAGAGCAAUGGAGGGGAAACCGGAAUUCUCGGUGUAGCAGUGAAAUGCGUAGAUAUCGAGAGGAACACUCGUGGCGAAGGCGGGUUUCUGGACAUUAGCUGACGCUGAGGUACGAAGGCCAGGGUAGCGAAAG